UACGUAGGGUGCGAGCGUUAAUCGGAAUACUGGGCGUAAAGCGUGCGCAGGCGGUGAUGUAAGACAGGUGUGAAAUCCCCGGGCUUAACCUGGGAACUGCAUUUGUGACUGCAUCGCUGGAGUGCGGCAGAGGGGGAUGGAAUUCCGCGUGUAGCAGUGAAAUGCGUAGAUAUGCGGAGGAACACCGAUGGCGAAGGCAAUCCCCUGGGCCUGCACUGACGCUCAUGCACGAAAGCGUGGGAGCAAACAG
rnacentral:rRNA from 1 species